rnacentral:misc_RNA from 1 species
GUGAAUCAUCAAAUUUUUGAACGCAAAUUGCGCUUUCUUUUGGGAGGCAUGUCUGUUUGAGGUCACCAUUUAACAAAUAAUGUGCUGGUAGCUAUGCGGCGUGCACACGUUGAUGAGCUUUUCCGAUAAACCCGGUUUUUUUGGUGGCGCAUAAUGUACAGCGUGGGCUUUUUCUUUCUUUUCUCGGGUAGUAAGUAAAUUUUCGACGCUUGGGUUGAGAGAAAGAGCGAGCCGCGCAAUGUGUGUG